UGACCAUGGACUUUCAGACGGACGUGCA
rnacentral:sRNA from 1 species